rnacentral:rRNA from 1 species
GAGUUUGAUCGUGGCUCAGAGUGAACGCUGGCGGCAGGCCUAACACAUGCAAGUCGAGCGGCAGCGGGUCGUAGCAAUACGAUGCCGGCGAGCGGCGGACGGGUGAGGAACACAUCGGAAUCUACCCAGUCGUGGGGGAUAACGUAGGGAAACUUACGCUAAUACCGCAUACGACCUACGGGUGAAAGCGGCGGACCGCAAGGCGUCGCGCGAUUGGAUGAGCCGAUGUCCGAUUAGCUAGUUGGCGGGGUAAGAGCCCACCAAGGCGACGAUCGGUAGCUGGUCUGAGAGGAUGAUCAGCCACACUGGAACUGAGACACGGUCCAGACUCCUACGGGAGGCAGCAGUGGGGAAUAUUGGACAAUGGGCGCAAGCCUGAUCCAGCCAUGCCGCGUGUGUGAAGAAGGCCUCGG